rnacentral:rRNA from 1 species
ACGCUGGCGGCAGGCCUAACACAUGCAAGUCGAGCGGUCGUAGCAAUACGGCAGCGGCAGACGGGAGAGUAACACGUGGGAACGCGCCCUUCGGUUCGGGAUAACCCAGGGAAACUUGGGCUAAUACCGGAUACGCCCUUACGGGGAAAGAUUUAUUGCCGAAGGAACGGCCCGCGUCCGAUUAGCUAGUUGGUGAGGUAACGGCUCACCAAGGCGACGAUCGGUAGCUGGUCUGAGAGGAUGACCAGCCUCACUGGGACUGAGACACGGCCCAGACUCCUACGGGAGGCAGCAGUGGGGAAUAUUGGACAAUGGGCGCAAGCCUGAUCCAGCCAUGCCGCAUGGGUGAUGAAGGCCCUAGGGUUGUAAAGCCCUUUCAGCGGGGAAGAUAAUGACGGUACCCGCAGAAGAAGCCCCGGCUAACUUCGUGCAGCAGCCGCGGUAAUACGAAGGGGGCUAGCGUUGCUCGGAAUUACUGGGCGUAAAGCGCACGUAGGCGGCUUUCUAAGUCGGGGGUGAAAUCCUGGAGCUCAACUCCAGAACUGCCUUCGAUACUGGAAAGCUCGAGUCCGGGAGAGGUGAGUGGAACUGCGAGUGUAGAGGUGAAAUUCGUAGAUAUUCGCAAGAACACCAGUGGCGAAGGCGGCUCA